AGGGCCCCGCCCUCGCGGCGUCUGCGCUUGAGCGCCGAUAAUUUGGUGGCGGCGUCCGGAGGGUGCUGGUCUGUGUUCGGUGAGCGGCGCGCUGGGUCUGUCCUGAGUGCGGGCUACGGCACCUUCGCCAUGCCGGGGAUGGUACUCUUCGGCCGGCGCUGGGCCAUCGCCAGCGACGACUUGGUCUUCCCAGGGUUCUUCGAGCUGGUCGUGCGAGUGCUGUGGUGGAUUGGCAUUCUGACGUUGUAUCUCAUGCACAGAGGGAAGCUGGACUGUGCUGGUGGAGCCUUGCUCAGCAGUUACUUGAUCGUCCUCAUGAUUCUCCUGGCAGUUGUCAUAUGUACUGUGUCAGCCAUCAUGUGUGUCAGCAUGAGAGUUUUUAAUAUAAUCACAGAGUUGUGCAACCAUCACCACAAUCAAGUUUAUAACAUUUUCUUCAGUCCUAAAAGAAAUCCUGUACUAGGUGGGACACAGUGGCUCACACCUGUAAUCCCAGCACUUUGGGAGGCUGAGGCGGGUGGAUC
rnacentral:sRNA from 1 species